GUGGCGCUUGGCAAGGGGUCAUUUGUCUUCCGGGUGGCGGCCGCGCAGGCGCAGGAAGGUGCUGAUGCGGAACGAGGUCGCGGUGUCGUG
rnacentral:tRNA from 1 species